rnacentral:lncRNA from 1 species
ACUGUAUAACAGUUGUAAAUUUUUGUAGAUUCAAAUCUAGUGUUUGAUUUGAUAUAUUUGAAUUUAAUUGCCGUAAUUGAACUGCAUAAGGAGGUCUAAAUACAGUUGGGACUACGUCUAAAUUGGUCCCAGUUUUAACUGCAGCAGUUGAAGCAAGUAAUUUUAAACAAAAGAUAAAGUUAACUCCCUAAUCACUUUUAAAAUAAAAAAUUCUUUUUUCUCAUUAGAGGUAAUCUUAUCAUUAUCUAUAAAAAGUGGUAAAAUUUUGAAAAUAAUGUACGCAAUUAAACAAAUUAUUUAUAUUUGCGGCAUUUUCUCUUGCAUCCAACUAAAUAAGAUGAGUACAAUUAGAACUAUUGUAUUUUCAAUUGCAUAUAUUUUUAACUACACUGUAUUUUCAAUUACGCAUGGUUUCGUUAGAAUUGAUUGUUUUGAUGUAAUGCUAAUGGAGAGUU